GGGUUGUAGGGGCGAAGCCCCAUGGUAUGGAUCCGACCUAAUUUUAUUGAUAUCUCUAGAUAUAUACCUAUUUUGGUGAGAUAUAUUGCCUUUUAAGGUGCAAGUGCUUUUCUAGGAUUUGUUUAUCUUAUACUCUAUAAUCUCUAAUAUUGAAGAUAGUAAAAAAUUUCUAUCUCUGCCCAUGAUUUUUUCCUUUGAUUCAGAGAGUUUUCCACAUAAAUCCUGAGUUUCUAUUGCUCUUUGUUUUUUUCAAUUUCUC
rnacentral:lncRNA from 1 species